CAAGCACUUCCGGGUCGACGAUGUCAGGAAGUCAGUUCAUGAGACAAAUGAGAAGCAGACAAGUUGUGUUAGCUUUUACAAGCCUUGGAAAAUAUAAGUCUUUUCACCUUUAAGACAGCCGCAGUCCAGCCACCCGGACAGCUGCUGCAACAAUCGCUUUGAACAACCAAAGAUGUUCUGCAUAAACUGUCAGAACUCGUCUCGGAGUUGAAACUUUCCAAUGGAUCACAGCGUACAUGGAUCCCGACCACUUGUCUACCAGCAGGUUUCGCUGCCGUCGACUUCCCCGAAACACUGCGGCCGAGGACGUACACUUCCGACUAUCAGGUUUCGGUGAGAAAAUUGUGGUAAUAAGUCGGCUCUUACCGGAGACAUGAGCGGAGCUUGCGUCCUCCUGCUGCUGUCAAAGAGGCAGUUGCGACUUUCUUGGUUCCUCCAUGGCUUCCAUCAGAGACACUGGCGGUCACCAGACCCCUCCGACUUUCAGGUCACCUUGAUUUAAGCAUGAGUUUAAUGAUGUGCCUUCACCAAAUUAGACUGUACACCCUCAUACUGUACCGACCCUUGAUGGCUGAGCGGUGAAUGAUAUCUGAUUGCAUUGUGUGGUCAGUGUUGCAAGGACACCGGGCAAUUAUUUUUGAUUUAUCUCCUCGGACAAAUGCAGGAAGACUGAGAAGAGAGACAGAUUUAACCUCAGGUUUGUGUCCUCAUUAUCAAAUCUCUCAAUACUGUUUGCGUACACCAGGGCUAUUAAACUACAUCAUAAGGAGGUUUCAAGAGCCCAAGGGCUCAGAGGCCGGACAUCAAAAUGUGGAUGUUUCAUCAGAAAGUGCAUCCGCAGGUUAUAUUUAUUUGAGACGGUGUUUACAGAAUUGCAAAGUAAACAUCAGUAUUCACACUGCACUGUCAAUAAAAUCUUUAUCCUCCCCUCGCCACUUGUUUCCAGCAUGUGUUAACAGCAUGAAGAAACAGAAGCUCCAGAAGUUUUGUUGAGGAU